rnacentral:rRNA from 1 species
UACAGAGACCUCAAGCGUUAUCCGGAAUCAUUGGGCGUAAAGCGUACCGAUCGGUGGUCUGUUAAGUUCUUUGUUAAAUCCCACGGCUUAACCGUGGAAGCGCAGGGAAUACUGGCAGACUCGAGGGGCAAAGAGGAAGCUAGAACGAACGGAGUAGCAGUGAAAUGCGUUGAUAUCGUUCGGAAUACCAAUAGCGAAGGCAGGCUUCUGGGUGCCACCUGACACUGCUAGGACGAAAGCGUGGG